rnacentral:rRNA from 1 species
UAGCUAACUGAAUCAAUGGUGUGUCACCGUUGAAAGGUAUGGGAAAAUAAUGAUAUUACCAUUACUGUUAGUGUCGUCCAAACACUGGUGCCAGAAGACUCGGUAAGGCCAGAGACGCAAACGUUAGUCGUCCUUAACAGGCGUAAAGGGUUUGUAGGCUGCUUCGAAAGUCUUAGUUUAAUAAUUUACUUUCAUUACACAAAAAAUUAAAUUAUACUUUAUUUCAACUUAAAUAAAAAAAAAAUUUAUAACAGAAAAAAAUUAUAAUCUAAUAGUUUAAUGAGAUUAGAUAUAAGAUGAAUUGAAGCUAGAAUCAAGAAGAGGUAAUGUUAAAUAAUGCUUAAUGUAGGAGUUAAAUCCUAAAAUAUUAAGUGGAAUACUAAAGGCGAAGGCUAUUUUACCAAUACUGAUUGACGCUGAGAAACGAAGGUAAGGAAAGGAAAAAGGAUUAGAGACCCUUGUACCCCUUACUGUCAACGAUGAAUGGUGGUUGCUUGAUUUAUAACUAACGAGUGACUAUGUUAACACGAUAACCAUUCCGCCUUGUGAGUACGACUGCAAAGUUGAAAUCAAAAAAAUUAG